CUCCCAUUUCCUAUUUCGAUCCACAACUGCAAACUUUCCACCUCAAGCCCAGAGCCGAACGGCUCUCUAUCUUGCCAUAUCUCUCCCAUUUCUCUCAUUUCUGAUUGUGUUAAGAAUCCCUACGCCACUCUCUCUAGAAUAUUAGAAAUGUCUCAUUUCUCUCUACCCUCUCUCACAUCAACACAAACCCUUUGCUUCCAUGGUGUGCACAAAGUUGCAAACGAAAGCGCAAACUCUAGACGGAAGAUCAGUCCCAAAACAAACCCUAAGGUAAAAAUCCCUCAUGGCUGCUAUUGAGUUCAGUUGGGUUUAUUCUCUGUGCAAGGAACUUUGAGCUGACAUCAGUACCAUGGAAGAGACAACGGAAUUGCUACAACAUCUCAGAUCCGGCGAUGUACUGAAAAACAAAACAAGAAAUGCUCAGAUCCAAAGCCAAAGUCAAAAUGGUGUGCAAAAACUGAAUCUGUAUCUUGACUUGAUGAAUCGUGCUCUCUGUGCAACAUGGAUCCCUCCCCCAAACUUCAAUGUAAUUAUAUUUUGAAUGAAGUGUGAGAGCGUGAGUGAGUGAAAGGGAUCCAUUAGCAUAGAGGUCUUCUCAACAUCCCCACUGUGAGUAUGUCUAGAACUCUGCCCAUACAUCAUUCUGCAUUCCUUUGGUUUCUGUAGUGCUGAUUCUCAUUAAUGUUGAUGAAGUUACGAUGAAUGCUCUGAAAUGAAUGUAUGUUGAAUGCUGUUGAAUACAUGAUUCAAUAGAAGGCGCACAUUUAUUGGA